GAGGAAUUCAAUAGCCAUAGCCAAUCAAGAUUUCAUUCAUCAAAUGAAAUUUAACUAUCCUUUUCCUAGGAUUGAACAACCAAGUCAUAAAGCACAAUCACAUGAGAGUACAUGUGUUCCUGCAAAUCAGCAUGUGCAAAAUGGAAAUUUUUUGCAUCAUCUUGAACAUGAUACUUCUCUACAUUUGAGGUUAAGGAAUCCCCAAUAGCACUUGGGAGAAUAAUAGUCAGAGAUCUUUAAUGAGUACCAUGUAAAAUUUCAAUUAAUGUUUUACAGUACUUUAGCAUGCUCUAGUUUACAAAUACUUUGCUAUUGUUAUGAAUAUGAGGAUACUUAGAUCCAGGUGUAUUUUGAAAAUUUGACGAGAAUAUUAUAUUGUGUACUAUAUUGAUGAUUAAAAUGUUAUUUAAAAAUUUAUGUGUUUUUUCAAAUUUAAAUGAAUAAGGAAUAAUUAUUUUUGUUUAUUAA